UACGAAGGGUGCAAGCGUUAAUCGGAAUUACUGGGCGUAAAGCGUGCGCAGGCGGUUCGUUGUGUCGGUGGUGAAAGCCCCGGGCUUAACCUGGGAAUGGCCAUGGAAACUGGCGAACUGGAGUGUGGCAGAGGGGGGUGGAAUUCCGCGUGUAGCAGUGAAAUGCGUAGAGAUGCGGAGGAACACCGAUGGCGAAGGCAGCCCCCUGGGCUAGCACUGACGCUCAGGCACGAAAGCGUGGGGAGCAAACAGG
rnacentral:rRNA from 1 species